GGGGCUGUGGUCUACUAGGAUGACGCCGCGUUCGCAACGCGGAAGAUCGGGCGCGAUUCCCGACAGCUCCA
rnacentral:tRNA from 1 species